CAUGGCUCAGGAUGAACGCUGGCGGCGUGCCUAAUACAUGCAAGUCGAACGAAACUUCUUUAUCACCGAGUGCUUGCACUCACCGAUAAAGAGUUGAGUGGCGAACGGGUGAGUAACACGUGGGCAACCUGCCCAAAAGAGGGGGAUAACACUUGGAAACAGGUGCUAAUACCGCAUAACCAUAGUUACCGCAUGGCAACUAUGUAAAAGGUGGCUAUGCUACCGCUUUUGGAUGGGCCCGCGGCGCAUUAGCUAGUUGGUGGGGUAAAGGCUUACCAAGGCAAUGAUGCGUAGCCGAACUGAGAGGUUGAUCGGCCACAUUGGGACUGAGACACGGCCCAAACUCCUACGGGAGGCAGCAGUAGGGAAUCUUCCACAAUGGGCGAAAGCCUGAUGGAGCAACGCCGCGUGGGUGAAGAAGGUCUUCGGAUCGUAAAACCCUGUUGUUAGUGAAGAAAGUGCGUGAGAGUAACUGUUCACGUUUCGGCGGUAUCUAACCAGAAAGCCACGGCCAACUACGUGCCAGCAGCCGCGGUAGUACGUAGGUGGCAAGCGUUAUCCGGAUUUAUUGGGCGUAAAGGGAACGCAGGCGGUCUUUUAAGUCUGAUGUGAAGGCCUUCGGCUUAACCGGAGUAGUGCAUUGGAAACUGGGAGACUUGAGUGCAGAAGAGGAGAGUGGAACUCCAUGUGUAGCGGUGAAAUGCGUAGAUAUAUGGAAGAACACCAGUGGCGAAAGCGGCUCUCUGGUCUGUAACUGACGCUGAGGUUCGAAAGCGUGGGUAGCAAACGGGAUUAGAUACCCUGGUAGUCCACGCCGUAAACGAUGAAUGCUAAGUGUUGGAGGGUUUCCGCCCUUCAGUGCUGCAGCUAACGCAAUAAGCAUUCCGCCUGGGGAGUACGACCGCAAGGUUGCAACUCAAAUGAAUUGACGGA
rnacentral:rRNA from 1 species